GGUGAACGCUGGCGGCGUGCCUAAGACAUGCAAGUCGAGCGGGGCAGGUUUAUACCUGUUCAGCGGCGGACGGGUGAGUAACGCGUGGGUGACCUACCCGGAAGAGGCGGACAACCUGGGGAAACCCAGGCUAAUCCGCCAUGUGGUCCUGUCCUGUGGGGCAGGACUAAAGGGUGGAUAGCCCGCUUCCGGAUGGGCCCGCGUCCCAUCAGCUAGUUGGUGGGGUAAAGGCCCACCAAGGCGACGACGGGUAGCCGGUCUGAGAGGAUGGCCGGCCACAGGGGCACUGCGACACGGGCCCCACUCCUACGGGAGGCAGCAGUUAGGAAUCUGCCGCAAUGGACGGAAGUCUGACGGAGCGACGCCGCUUGGAGGAGGAAGCCCUGCGGGGUGUAAACUCCUGAACUGGGGACGAAAGCCCUGUGUAGGGGGAUGACGGGACCCAGGUAAUAGCGCCGGCCAACUCCGUG
rnacentral:rRNA from 1 species